GGGUGGAGGGAGGACACCCUUCAGGAUCACAGUAGCUACUUCUCACCAGGACACUGCUGCCAUCCAGCCUUUGUUCUGGGCAUUUUGCGUUAAAAAUCUCAUUUAAUCUUCACAACAGGCCUGUGAGGCAGAAUCCAGGAAUGGAAAGAACUCGGGUUUAGAAGCCAAACAUUGCUGGAUUUAGUUCUGUCCUCAGCCACUUACUGAGUGAACGGGGCAAGCUACUUGCUUACUGGAGCUUCAGUUUUCCCAUCUGUUAAAUGGAAAUAAUACUGGCUUCAGUGUGUUGUGAGAAUUCCCUAUAGUAAUGACUGUGAAACAGCUGAAACCCUGCAGGCAGGUGAUAAAUGAUAGCUCUCGUGUUGCCCUUUAUGGAUAAGGAUGCAAGAAGUUUAGGAUGGUUGGCCAAUGCUACGUUGCUGGUCAGCAGCAGAGCUAGGUCCGUCUCCCUGCCAAAGGCAGGCAUUUUGCUCAGAGGCCACCAAACCCAUACCCUUGGUGGCCAACAUGGCAGCGGCUGGAUCGGAGUCUCCCCCCAGUACUUUGUAAGCCCAUUGAGGGUAAGACUAUGCAUCAGAUCUCUUGGCAUCCUUGGUAUCCUUGGCAGGUCUCUUGGUAUCCUUGGCAUCCUCUCUCACAGUGCCGUAAAUGUUCCUUAAAUGGAUGAAAGCAUUCAGGAGCACCUAGAAUAGAUUGAGCAGAUAACCGCAUAACAGGUGUCCACUGUGUGCAUAUAACUUCAGCCUCUUCUGCGUUGUUGGGACAUGAAGUCCCUUCGCUUUGCAUGGAAAAUAGUCUAGGCACCCCCUGGCUGACUUGCCACGAUGCCUGUCCUCAGGACAGGAAGAAGGAUGGGCCCAAGGGGGAGAAUUGCAUCAGAGGUCAAGAAAAGAACUCCAGCAGAAGUAGCACAAACAGGGAACCCAUAAGGAAGCUUGUGAUGAACAAACAUAGGGCAGAUGAAGUGGAGUAUUGGAUGGAAACACACCUUGAAAAUGCACAGACCUGUGGCAAGGGAAGGGAUAGCUGCUUAGAUCAAUAGCAGGGCCUUGGACCAUGGCUAGGGGGAUGCUUGUUAGUGCCUCCCUGGGCUGCAGGGAGCCACGGAAAACAGGCCAGGGCAGGAGACCGGCCAGUGACUCACACGGAGGAACACAGGUUUAGAGGAGCAAAAUCUGAACGGCCCCUCUCCUUCUCCCCACCUGUUUUCUGUCACGUGCUCUGGACCUGAGCCCACAGUGGGGCAGCUCCCUCGGCCUCCAGUGGAAGGCGGAGGCACUUGACAAAAAGCCUCCAGUUAACCGGGGCAAGCAGCAGGGUGGGGCUCAGGCCUUCUGGCCAAGUCCUUGUCUCCCUCGAGUCUCCAGCUUUCUCCUGAGAGACAAAGCCCUCGCCAGGCAGGCUUUAAUAAGCAGUAGUGCCCUGCAUCCCUGCCCAAGUCCCCACACCCCACGCUGGCAGGCUACUGCAGCCCCUAUCUUGCCUGGCACGUGGCACAUGGGGUGUCUUGGCAUGUGGGGUGGUGCCGUAUGCCUGUAGUCACAGACUGGCACUCACUGCAAGAGCUUCCAAUGUGCGAGAGCUGAGGCUAGAGUUCCUUGCUGCCUGUGAAGAUGGUGCUGUGACCAGAGCAGGCCUCAUAAUGAGCCGGUGAUUUCAUCCCCUCCAGACAGAAGGCAAAGUCUGUGCCUUCUGGGCAAAACAUUAGCUGACCCGUGACACUGCUCAGACCCCAGAGGCCUGGCUCCCGGCCUGCCGGGAGCAGUCACUCCAAACAGCUGCGGCUGUGAGGCCUUCAGAGAGUGGCUAAUUAGGGUCUCACCUGGCCAGCUCCGAUCUGCAACCACAAGCUCGCGGCCCAGCUGCCUCUCCCCAGUGCCUCUGGGGCUCCGCUGCCUCCCUCACAGAUGGCGAGUGACUUCCUUGAUCUGUAUAAACAAGAAUUCUGCCUUAUUCAAACAGCAAUGAUAGAUUGGAGAAUCUACUAUGUACAGCACACUGUGCUUGCAUCCAGUGGUAGAGUUAGAAAAAAAAUGUGAUGUCCCGUGAUGUUAAGAAGUGAAGAACCCCAUGGGGAGGUAGCAGAAAACAUCCAGCAGUGAGUGGCAACAGGUGUGCUGGUCACCGAGGGCUUCUUGGGCAAGGUCAUUCAUGAACUGGGUCUUGCAGCACAGAUGUGCUGGGAGUGGAAGAGGACACAGUUAGAUGCCGCUUUAUCCUCACUAUAGUGGCACAAAUGGAGAAGGCUGACGAUGCCGUGUGCUGGGGAAGAGGUGGGUGUGUAGGUUGUCUACCUGUCGGCCGUGGGAGUGUAAAUGAGUCACCCACUCAGGAAAAUAGCUGAACAACCCCCAGGGAUACAUUCCUGUACACCACCACCCAGCAAUUCCACUCGUAGGUAUACACUUCAGGAAACUCUUACACAAAAAUAUUCACAGCAGGACUGUUCAAACACCCACCAACAGAAGAAUGGAUAAACAGGUGUGUUCACACCAUGGAGUAUCAGACAGCGUCCAAAGAGAGGAAUCACGGCCACCCUAGCAAUAUGGACAAUGCUUAUCAACUUACUACUAAGUGAGAAAAGUAAGUCCCAAAAGAGUACAAACAGCAUGACACCCUCUCAAAGAAGGCAAAGAGAUGUCAAAUAUAAUAUACACAUUUUAGGACUCCAAGGAAUAGGUAAGAUGAGAGGACAGGAUAGGAAAAUAGGCCAGGAGCUGUGGCUCAUGCCUGGAAUCCCAGCACUUAGGGAGGCCGAGGCAGUUAGAUCACUUGAGCCCAGGAGUUCAAGACCACCCUGGACAAUAUAGCGAAACCUCGUCUCUACAAAAAAUACAAAAAUUAGCCAGGUGUGCUGGCAUGUGCCUGAAGUCCCAGCUACUUAGGAGGCUGAAGCGAGAGGAUUGCUUGAGCCUGGAAGGUCAAGGGCUGCAGUGAGCUGUGAUCGUGCCACUGCACUCCAGCCUGGGUAAUAGGGAAAGAUCCUGUCUCAAAAAAAAAAAGGAAAACACAGAAAGGAGGCACACAGGAUUCGGGGUGCCAGCUAUCUUGGGAUAGCUCCCUGCAGCCCAGGGAAGCACUAGGGAGGGAAUGGGAUGGGGUGGGCCACACAGCUGGUGUCAGCUCUUGCUAAGGCCCAGCUUUCAGGCUGGGUGGUGGUUUCAUGGGUGACUAUUCUGUUACUUUAAAAUGUGAUCUAUUAGCACAGCUAGGGAGGUAGGACUAUGCCUGUAAUAGCAAAAGUAAUAAAAUGCAUCAUAAGCCCAGGAUUAUAA
rnacentral:lncRNA from 1 species